GCAUGUAAGCAGCCAUGCGUACGUCUAAGGCACGCAAAUUUUUUCCGUUCGAAACCCUUGUUUUUCUCCCCCGUGCGCAUCCCUCGACGGCGAAGAAGCAGGAGGAGUCACGAUUGGAGCUCAGCGGAGAAACCUCAACGGAAGCAGAGAAGUGGAGAGAGAAAGAGAGAAAGAUUCUAGCCAUAAAGUUUUGAUUUGGAGGUCUUAGAGUUUGAUUCUGGAUUCUAGACAAUUGGGGAAGAUGAUCUACUUGAGGUAUUUCACUCUGUUUAGGACUGUUGACCGUGAAGCUGUAAUGUUCAGCGAUCAUUUUAGUCACUUCUGCACUUAUUGCAUACUACACACAUUGUACACGUGAUUCACAUGUUGUUUAAUUUUAUCCCCACUAUUCAAGCAAACUAUAUAAAGUUUGUAUAAUAUUAUAUUCAUUUU